AUUGAACGCUGGCGGCAUGCCUUACACAUGCAAAUCGAACGGUAACGGGCCUUCGGGUGCCGACGAGUGGCGAACGGGUGAGUAAUACAUCGGAACGUGCCCGAUCGUGGGGGAUAACGAGGCGAAAGCUUUGCUAAUACCGCAUACGAUCUAAGGAUGAAAGCAGGGGACCGCAAGGCCUUGCGCGGACGGAGCGGCCGAUGGCAGAUUAGGUAGUUGGUGGGAUAAAAGCUUACCAAGCCGACGAUCUGUAGCUGGUCUGAGAGGAUGAUCAGCCACACUGGGACUGAGACACGGCCCAGACUCCUACGGGAGGCCGCAGUGGGGAAUUUUGGACAAUGGGCGCAAGCCUGAUCCAGCCAUGCCGCGUGCAGGAUGAAGGCCUUCGGGUUGUAAACUGAUUUUGUACGGAACGAAAAGCCUUCUUUUAAUACAGGAGGGUCAUGACGGUACCGUAAGAAUAAGCACCGGCUAACUACGUG
rnacentral:rRNA from 1 species